rnacentral:rRNA from 1 species
AUUGAACGCUGGCGGCACGCUUUACACAUGCCAGUCGGGCGAGCGGCGGACGGGUGAGUCAUAUCUGGGCACCUGCCUGAUAGGGGGGGAUAACUACUGGAAAUGGUAGCUAAUACCGCAUAACAUCAGAUUAACCCAUAUCGGAUUAGCUUGUCGGUGAGGUAACGGCGCAACAAGGCGACUAUCCCUAGCGGGUCUGAGAGGAUGAGCAGCCACACUGGGACGGAGACACGGCACAGACUCCUACGGGAGGCAGCAGUGGGGAAUUGUGCACAAGUGGCGCAAGCCUGAUGCAGCCAUGACGCGUGUAUGAAGAAGGCCGUCGGGUUGUAAAGGACUUUCAUUAGAGAAGCGUUACCGACAGAAGAAGCACCGGCUAACUCCGUGCCAGCAGCCGCGGUAAUAC